AGUGAACGCUGGCGGUAGGCCUAACACAUGCAAGUCGAACGGCAGCACAGUAAGAGCUUGCUCUUACGGGUGGCGAGUGGCGGACGGGUGAGGAAUACAUCGGAAUCUACUUUUUCGUGGGGGAUAACGUAGGGAAACUUACGCUAAUACCGCAUACGACCUACGGGUGAAAGCAGGGGAUCUUCGGACCUUGCGCGAUUGAAUGAGCCGAUGUCGGAUUAGCUAGUUGGCGGGGUAAAGGCCCACCAAGGCGACGAUCCGUAGCUGGUCUGAGAGGAUGAUCAGCCACACUGGAACUGAGACACGGUCCAGACCCCUACGGGAGGCAGCAGUGGGGAAUAUCGGACAAUGGGCGCAAGCCUGAUCCAGCCAUACCGCGUGGGUGAAGAAGGCCUUCGGGUUGUAAAGCCCUUUUGUUGGGAAAGAAAAGCAGCAGGUUAAUACCCCGCUGUUCUGACGGUACCCAAAGAAUAAGCACCGGCUAACUUCGUG
rnacentral:rRNA from 1 species